GACGAACGCUGGCGGCGUGCUUAACACAUGCAAGUCGAACGAUGAAGCCGGAGCUUGCUCUGGUGAAUUAGUGGCGAACGGGUGAGUAACACGUGAGUAACCUGCCCUUGACUCUGGGAUAACUGCGGGAAACUGUAGCUAAUACCGGAUACGACCCUCGGAGGCAUCUCCUGGGGGUGGAAAGAAUUUCGGUCAAGGAUGGACUCGCGGCCUAGCAGCUAGUUGGUGGGGUAAAGGCUCACCACGGCGACGACGGGUAGCCGGCCUGAGAGGGUGACCGGCCAGACUGGGACGGGGACACGGCCCAGACUCCUACGGGAGGCAGCAGUGGGGAAUAGUGCACAGGGGGCGCAAGCCUGAUGCAGCAACGCCGCGUGGGGGAUGACGGCCUGCGGGUUGUAAACCUCUUUUAGCAGGGAAGAAGCGAAAGUGACGGUACCUGCAGAAAAAGCACCGGCUAACUACGUGCCAGCCGCCGCGGUAA
rnacentral:rRNA from 1 species